UACGAAGGGGGCUAGCGUUGUUCGGAAUCACUGGGCGUAAAGCGCACGCAGGCGGAUUGAUAAGUCAGGGGUGAAAUCCCGGGGCUCAACCUCGGAAUUGCCUUUGAUACUGUCUGUCUUGAGUCCGGGAGAGGUGAGUGGAAUUCCUAGUGUAGAGGUGAAAUUCGUAGAUAUUAGGAAGAACACCAGUGGCGAAGGCGGCUCACUGGACACAUAUUGACGCUGAGGUGCGAAAGCGUGGGGAGCAAACAGG
rnacentral:rRNA from 1 species